GACGGGGGGGGCAAGUGUUCUUCGGAAUGACUGGGCGUAAAGGGCGCGUAGGCGGAUGGCACAGUCAGAUGUGAAAUUCCCGGGCUUAACCUGGGGGCUGCAUUUGAUACGUGUUGUCUUGAGUUCGGAAGAGGGUCGUGGAAUUCCCAGUGUAGAGGUGAAAUUCGUAGAUAUUGGGAAGAACACCGGUGGCGAAGGCGGCGACCUGGUCCGACACUGACGCUGAGGCGCGAAAGCGUGGGGAGCAAACAGG
rnacentral:rRNA from 1 species